UUAAACCCAAUUUGAAGGGUACCUUGUCCACAACCACUUUUAAAUGCUGGCUGGCCUCUCCCAACCUUCUACCAUGCCCUGGGAGCACUUCUCCUGCUAUUACAGUAUGCAUGUGUUCAGGAAAUGAAAAUGAAUUGAAAUAGCCUGAAAGAAGCAUAAUUUAGAAGCUUCCACGUCAUCACCCGCAAGAAUCAAAAGGGAGUCCCUGAGUGCCACGUGCUCCAGAUGAAUGACUCCAACUGGCUUCCCAAAGACAAAGAACAGUAAUGAAGAUGGGGCCUCCAAAAACCAUGGUUCCAGCCCCCCCUGUCUUCUACAGAGAAGCACAGAGAGCGUGAAAGAGUGGAAGUUCUGCAGUUUCUUCUUUCUGUUCUUCCAGUGAGGUUUGGAUGCUCCCUUCCCACCAUGUCUGAGUUUCAGCUUCCCCAUCUAUUAAACGUAGGGCUGGCAGACAAAAUAUAGGACACCCAGUUAAAUUUGAAUUUCAGGUAAAUAAUGAAUCUCUUUCUGGCAUAUGUAUGUGGCAAUAUUUAUUGUUUAUCUGAAAUUCAAAUUUAACUGGGCAUCCUCUAUUUUUAUUUACUAAAUCUGGCAAACCUACUUAUACGUGGAUAAAAAUAUUUCUUACCCCAUAGGAUUCCCAUGAGGAUAAAUAAGUAAUUAAAAUAAAAAAAAAACCCACCUGUAAAGCCUUAGAACAGCAACUGAAGACAAGUAAGAGCUCUAUUUAAGUAUUUGCUGUUAUUUUUAUUGUACCCAUACAACACAGACACACACACACACACACACACACACACACACUUGGCUAUACAGUAACACUCUUCUUCAGUUGCCUAGUUCAGCUUUGACAAACUUUUAAAUGAUAUUUUGAAAUCUUCAUGUUUUAAUUUAUAACUUCCAUUUUAUUGUCUCCUCCACAAAUCUCAUAAACGGCAAAUCAGCAGUUUUAUAAAGGUCCUAUAAAUAUUUAAGGCCAAAAUAACAAUCUCCUAAUACUUUCUUCUUAAGAUUAGGUUCUAAUUAUUUGAUCUUUUACUAUAUGAACCUGUUCCUCUUCUCUAAAGCCUGUGUAGUUCCUCCACAUUUUAUUUUUUCUUUAGUUAGAAAAAUAUGUUUGUUAUAAUAAACUUAUAGGGAGGAAAAAGAUUAUUCUUUCCUCUUGCAAUAUUGUCUGAAUGUUCCAUAAUCUGUACAUACAUAAAGUAAAAUAAGCAUCUGGUUUUUUUUAAUUUGGAGUUUCCUUUUCUUAUUUUUGUCUUUUUAUACUCAGACAAUUAUGCCUGGUCCGCUUAUUUAAAUGAACUUCAUGAUUUUUAUUUUAAAUUUUGCCCACUAUUAGUCAGUGAUUUUAUGACUCAGAAGCAAUGCAUAAAGGGCACAAUCUAUAAUCCUAUUCUCUUAAAGACAAGCACUUUAAAUAAUAACUAAUAUUGAAUAAUAUUAUUCAAUAAAUAAUAAUAUUGAAAUAAUAAAAAUAAUAACAAGAACAUUCUUAAUAACACCUAACAUUUAUUGUUAGUGUAUGAUGUUCCAGCAACUAUGCUAGGAACUUUUAACUUCAUUAAAUCUUUUCAUUCUCAUAGUAAUGCCGUGAGAAAAAUACUAUCAUUAUCAAUCCUCAAUCUUUUCUGCUCUGGUUGCUGAACAGUUGCUCCACUGAGCAACUCUUGCUAAGGUCACAAAAGACCUGCAAGGCACUAAAUGAAAUAAACAUUUUCUGCCUUUACCUAACUUGCCAGUACAUGUUGCAUUCUCUCCCUCCCUCUAUACCUUUGUCUCUCUCUCGCCUUCCCUCCUUUCCUUUUUCUCUCUUCCUCAUUUUUCCCCUUCUCUUUAUUUUUUUGCAGUAGGAUGGAUUUGAGUCGUUAUACCCUUCAACAAUGUAA